AACUUUUGACAACGGAUCACUUGGUUCCCGCAUCGAUGAAGAACGCAGCGAAACGCGAUAGGUAAUGUGAAUUGCAGAACUCCGUGAAUCAUCGAAUCUUUGAACGCACAUUGCGCCUGCUGGUAUUCCGGUAGGCAUGCCUGUUUGAGCGUCAGCAAAAACCUCUCAAUGAUAAUUUUUUAUUGUUGGUUAUGGGUGAAGAGCAUGGAUAUUAGCCGCUCUUCCCUUAAACUUGCUGCACGACCGUAAGCUUACGUUAGGUUAAUGGAGUGGUGUUUACAAUAUUCCAGCUGCCAGCGAAGCGAACGGCGUUAAACCUGAUGUUGCUCUUCUGCAACUGAAGUUUGACCUCAAAUCAGACAAGGAUACCCGCUGAACUUAAGCAUAUCAAUAAGCGGAGGCU
rnacentral:misc_RNA from 1 species